rnacentral:rRNA from 1 species
UGCAGUCGAGUGCGCGGUUGUAGCAAUACAACUGGCGCACGGCGCACGGGUGCGAAACACGUGGGCAAUCUGCCCUUCGAUGGGGAAUAACUCCGGGAAACCGAAGCUAAUUCCGCAUAACAUUCCUUGGACUUCGGUUCGAGGAUUCAAAGCCGUAAGGCGUCGAAGGAGGAGCCCGCGCACGAUUAGCUAGUUGGUAGGGUAACGGCCUACCAAGGCUUUGAUCGUUAGCUGGUCUGAGAGGAUGGCCAGCCACACUGGAACUGAGACACGGUCCAGACUCCUACGGGAGGCAGCAGUGGGGAAUCUUGCACAAUGGGCGAAAGCCUGAUGCAGCGACGCCGCGUGGGGGAUGAAGCAUCUCGGUGUGUAAACCCCUUUCGACCCGGACGAAUGCCUCGCAAGAGGAGUGACGGUACGGGUAUAAGAAGCCCCGGCUAACUACGUGCCAGCAGCCGCGGUAAGACGUAGGGGGCCAGCGUUGUUCGGAAUUACUGGGUGUAAAGGGUUCGUAGGCGGUGUGGCAAGUCGGGAGUGAAAUCUCUGGGCUCAACCCAGAGGCUGCUUCCAAAACUGCCAUGCUUGAGUGUGGGAGAGGCGCGUGGAAUUGCAGGUGUAGCGGUGAAAUGCGUAGAUAUCUGCA